CUCGGUGCCUGCUUUGGAGCUUUAUAACCCUAGGCUGCAGUUACUCUGUAAUCCACCCUUUGCGAUUCUGAGAGGCCCCAGACCGGAGCUAGUAAUCCCGAAUUUAUCUCUGCAAGCGAUUAAAGUUAACUCUGAUGAAAAACAUUGCCUUGCCUAAUUGAAAGAAGCCAGAGCUGGGAGAGUUUCCAUAACCCAUCCCUACUUGAGGGAUUUCAGACCGUGGUGAGCUGACUGCAUUGCUUUAAAUUUAUGUCAAGGCAGAAGCAUCAUGGAUGAAGGGUACAGGGAAGGAACGGCUACUCACGUACCUGAUGGACGUAAGGGAGCAAAGAGCUACUGGAAAGGUUAUGGCAACGGAGAAGGGGAAUGCAGCCCAUGGGAAUAGAGCGUCCAAGGAGAAAGCCAGGGGUAUGGUCAAAACAUGCAGAAAGCACAGGACUAAGAACUCGACUAACACACCUGGGAGAGCAAGCAUCGAGGGAAGCCAGAUGGCAUCUCAGCAGCCCAUCUUCCCACAGCACCUGUGCAGGCCACACUGAGAGUACCUGCUUGUUUGUUAGUUGUUUUGACAACUUGACACAAGGUAGAGUCAGCUGAGAAGAGGAGUCU